CUUAAAACUCAAAGGACUUGGCGGUAUCCCAUUUCGGCCUAGAGGAGCCUGUCCUAUAAUCGACACUCCCCGUUCCACCCAACCUCCACUUGCACAUUCAGCCUAUAUACCGCCGUCGACAGUCUACCCCAUGAGGGCCUUUUAGUAGACACAAUAGCAACAACUCGCUAACACGUCAGGUCAAGGUGUAGCAAAUGUUGAGGAAGAGAUUGGCUACAUUUUUUAUUUCAAAACAAACGAAAUGCAACAUGAAACAUUGCACGAAGGUGAAUUUAGCAGUAAAAUGAACAAGAGAGUUCAUUUUAACACC
rnacentral:rRNA from 1 species